rnacentral:rRNA from 1 species
UACGUAGGGGGCAAGCGUUGUCCGGAUUUAUUGGGCGUAAAGAGCGUGUAGGCGGCCAGACAGGUCUGCUGUGAAAACUCGAGGCUCAACCUCGAGACGCCGGUGGAAACCGUCUGGCUAGAGUCCGGAAGAGGAGAGUGGAAUUCCUGGUGUAGCGGUGGAAUGCGCAGAUAUCAGGAGGAACACCAAUGGCGAAGGCAGCUCGCUGGGACGGUACUGACACUGAGACGCGAAAGCGUGGGGAGCAAACAGG